GAUGAACGCUAGCUACCGGCUUAACACAUGCAAGUCGAGGGACCGGCGCACGGGUGAGUAACACGUAUCCAACCUGCCCUUUACUCGGGGAUAGCCUUUCGAAAGAAAGAUUAAUACCCGAUAACAAGGAUGGGGCGGCGUUCCAUUAGGUGGUGGGGGAGGUAACGGCCCACCAAGCCUUCGAGGGGUAGGGGUUCUGAGAGGAAGGUCCCCCACAUUGGAACUGAGACACGGGCCAAACUCCUACGGGAGGCAGCAGUGAGGAAUAGGGGUCAAUGGGCGUUAGCCUGAACCAGCCAAGUAGCGUGAAGGAUGAAGGCUUAUGGGUCGUAAACUUCUUUUAUAUAAGAAUAUGUAUUAUAUGAAUAAGGAUCGGCUAACUCCGUGCCAGCAGCCGCGGUAAUAC
rnacentral:rRNA from 1 species